CGCAGCGAAAUGCGAUACUUGGUGUGAAUUGCAGAAUCCCGUGAACCAUCGAGUCUUUGAACGCAAGUUGCGCCCGAAGCCAUUAGGCUGAGGGCAUGCCUGCCUGGGUGUCGCCCAUCGUUGCCCCAGUGCCUUGGCCUCAUGCUAGGCACC
rnacentral:rRNA from 1 species